UCCGGGUUGGACCCGUCGGUCCCGCCAGACAUCGUAACUGGCAGCGAGGGUUGCGCUCGUUGCGGGACUUAACCCAACACCUCACGGCACGAGCUGACGACAGCCAUGCAGCAUCUGUGCACGCUCCCUUGCAGGUCGUCACCCUUUCAGGCUCCUACCACGUGCAUGUCAAGCCCAGGUAAGGUUCUUCGCGUUGCGUCGAAUUAAACCACACGCUCCGCUGCUUGUGCGGGCCCCCGCCAAUUCCUUUGAGUUUCAACCUUGCGGCCGUAGUCCCCAGGCGGUUCACUUAAUGCGUUAGCUGCGGCACCGAGGGGAACCCCCGACACCUAGUAAACAUAGUUUAGGGCCAAGACUAC
rnacentral:misc_RNA from 1 species